GGGGCGGGGGCUUUAUACCCUCGGGGGGCGUGGCCUAAGGGAGGGGGCGUGGCUUAAUGGUCCAGGGGGCGUGGCCUUGCGGGAUGCCUCGCGGUUAGGGGGCACAGGGGGGCGUGGCCUCCGGGAAGGGGGCGUGGCCUCCGGGAAAGGGGCGUGGCCUUCGUGGCGCGCCUUCCCGUUAUAUUAAGCCCCGCCCAGUGGGCGUGGCCUGGAGGGGUCAACCUCGGUUAUGCCCGCAGGGUCCUAAUGCCCCCCCUCCCCCUCCCCAACUUCCCCAGUCCCCCCCAGUCCUCCCAGUUAGAGGCGGGCGCUCAGCACUGGUGGCACCUUUAUUGGUCCGUCCGCGGGGCCCGCUGGCCCAGGUGGCCCCACGGUGGCCACGGUCACGUCCACGGUGGUUCUGGUGGCCCCGGAUGGCCCCGCGGUGGCCACAACCGCAUCCUGCUCGCGUCCUUGGUGGCCACAAGUGGCCCCGUGGUGGCCACGCUGGCGUCCUUGGUGGCCCCGUGGUGGCCCCGCUCAUGUCCAUGGUGGCCCAGAUUGUCCCCAUGGUGGCCCCGGGGCCGUCCCCAUGGUGGCCCAAAUUGUCCCCAUGGUGGCCCAAAUUGUCCCCAUGGUGGCCCAGACUGGCCCCAUGGUGGCCCCGGGGCUGUCCCCACGGUGGCCACCCCGCUGGUCUCGGUGGCCCUCCCGGCCCCGUUGGUGGCCCCGUCCCGGUUCCGUUGGUUUUUGACGCACUCGACCCAAAGUUGGUUUGGCAGAAGGGGGGGGGG
rnacentral:lncRNA from 1 species